rnacentral:tmRNA from 1 species
GGGGAUGUAUUGUUUCGAUGGGAGGCCUUAAAUUUGAAGUUAGCAGGACGAGAUUGGCACUUGCUCGCAAACUAAAUGCCAAAGCACAUAAGUGCAAACAACUUUUUAAGCAAAGUAAAAUCUGCCUUUGGUGGAUUUGCUUUCGCUCCUGCUGUUGCUUAAUUGCUUAACAGCCAUCGCCCUGCCCACGCCUAGGUAGGCAAGAAGCGGUGUUAUAACUCUAGGACAGAUAGGCCAGUCUAUUCGAACAGGCCUAUUUAAAUUAUUUCGAAUAAAGCCGAAUCUGUUUUGUUCUUUUAAUAGGAUCCGGCUAAAAAAAUAAAAGAAAUAAUCUUGUACACUGACUUUUGAUUUACUUCCAGACAGGAGCUCAUUACUCCUCAUCUCCACUA